rnacentral:rRNA from 1 species
AUUGAACGCUGGCGGCAGGCCUAACACAUGCGAGUCGAACGGUAACAGGAAGAAGCUUGCUUCUUUGCUGACGAGUGGCGGACGGGUGAGUAAUGUCUGGGAAACUGCCUGAUGGAGGGGGAUAACUACUGGAAACGGUAGCUAAUACCGCAUAACGUCGCAAGACCAAAGAGGGGGACCUUCGGGCCUCUUGCCAUCGGAUGUGCCCAGAUGGGAUUAGCUUGUUGGUGGGGUAACGGCUCACCAAGGCGACGAUCCCUAGCUGGUCUGAGAGGAUGACCAGCCACACUGGAACUGAGACACGGUCCAGACUCCUACGGGAGGCAGCAGUGGGGAAUAUUGCACAAUGGGCGCAAGCCUGAUGCAGCCAUGCCGCGUGUAUGAAGAAGGCCUUCGGGUUGUAAAGUACUUUCAGCGGGGAGGAAGGGAGUAAAGUUAAUACCUUUGCUCAUUGACGUUACCCGCAGAAGAAGCACCGGCUAACUCCGUGCCAGCAGCCGCGGUAAUACGGAGGGUGCAAGCGUUAAUCGGAAUUACUGGGCGUAAAGCGCACGCAGGCGGUUUGUUAAGUCAGAUGUGAAAUCCCCGGGCUCAACCUGGGAACUGCAUCUGAUACUGGCAAGCUUGAGUCUCGUAGAGGGGGGUAGAAUUCCAGGUGUAGCGGUGAAAUGCGUAGAGAUCUGGAGGAAUACCGGUGGCGAAGGCGGCCCCCUGGACGAAGACUGACGCUCAGGUGCGAAAGCGUUGGGAGCAAACAGGAUUAGAUACCCUGGUAGUCCACGCCGUAAACGAUGUCGACUUGGAGGUUGUGCCCUUGAGGCGUGGCUUCCGGAGCUAACGCGUUAAGUCGACCGCCUGGGGAGUACGGCCGCAAGGUUAAAACUCAAAUGAAUUGACGGGGGCCCGCACAAGCGGUGGAGCAUGUGGUUUAAUUCGAUGCAACGCGAAGAACCUUACCUGGUCUUGACAUCCACGGAAGUUUUCAGAGAUGAGAAUGUGCCUUCGGGAACCGUGAGACAGGUGCUGCAUGGCUGUCGUCAGCUCGUGUUGUGAAAUGUUGGGUUAAGUCCCGCAACGAGCGCAACCCUUAUCCUUUGUUGCCAGCGGUCCGGCCGGGAACUCAAAGGAGACUGCCAGUGAUAAACUGGAGGAAGGUGGGGAUGACGUCAAGUCAUCAUGGCCCUUACGACCAGGGCUACACACGUGCUACAAUGGCGCAUACAAAGAGAAGCGACCUCGCGAGAGCAAGCGGACCUCAUAAAGUGCGUCGUAGUCCGGAUUGGAGUCUGCAACUCGACUCCAUGAAGUCGGAAUCGCUAGUAAUCGUGGAUCAGAAUGCCACGGUGAAUACGUUCCCGGGCCUUGUACACACCGCCCGUCACACCAUGGGAGUGGGUUGCAAAAGAAGUAGGUAGCUUAACCUUCGGGAGGGCGCUUACCACUUUGUGAUUUAUGACUGGGGUGAAGU